rnacentral:lncRNA from 1 species
ACUCUUUUCCACCUCAAUUCCAUCAUUUCCCUCAAUCUCCUCCACUUCAUUCCCCUCCCCUUUAAUCUCCGUCUCAUCCUGUCCGAAAUCAAAUGCGAUGAUUUGAGAGUGCUUUUUGAGGGACUUAGUAGACGAGGAUGAUUUAAGGUCCUUGUGGAACUGAUUCAAGUUGGCAAAAGAGGUGGCGGCGCGGCGGAGAUAGACGGAGACGGCGUGAGAAGCUCCGUUCUCCAUAGAGACGAAAUUGGAGAGGAUUCUGGAAGCUGCAGCUAAAGAGACUGGCUUUGAUGAUACUACGUGUGCUGAUACUGAUUUCAUUUUGAUCUUAAUUGAGUAAUUGAAUUUUCUAGGGUUUUGCAGACUCAAUUGAAAAGUGAAGUCGGGUCUAGGGUUUAUAAGCGUUUAGCGUAAACACACGGAGUAUCAGCUGUUGUUCUGUUUUUAUUUGAGUGAAUAAAAAUUAUUAUUUGAUAAUAUAUUUGUAAAAGAUUCAAGUCACAUCCAAAAUGUUCACAAUCCUGAUUAAAUUCGGGAGCUUUUUAAAAGUUGGAUCAAAUCCAGAAUUAGAAAAUAAAUGGAAAUCUGAUAAUUAAAUCUAAUAAUCUGGAAUUCUGGAUAAUUCACAGGUCAUAAACUUCAAAAAAUAAUCAAUUUUGUUCAAUUAAUACUUAUAUUUAUGUUUAUAAACCGGACUAAACUCUCUAUUAUUCUCGAUAUGACACUGAAAAGUUAUAAUAUUAUUAAUAAUAAAGAUUAUAAUUAGAAUAUGAUUAAAAUAUUAAAUACAUCUCAUAUUUACUAUAUAUUAUCUACAUCUCAAAUUGUAGAGUUUUACCUCGGUACCUCCUCCCGAUAUAUCAAAAGUAUUGUUAUAUAAAAUAUGACGAACGGUAUAAUUUAUAUGUAAUAUUAAGGUUUCGUUUGAUACUAUGUUACGGACAAGAACGAUAGUUUUUUUGAAAAGAAAUGUGGGUGAAAAUUUGUUAAGUUAAUUUAAAAGUAAUUUUUCCCAAUGUAGUUUUAGCUCAUUCCAUACUUUAUAGAAAUAUUAUUUUUAGCUUUGCAGAAGCUGUCACAUAAUUAACUAUUAAACUUUAUCAAAAAAAUCUAUUUUAAUAUUAUAACUGAAAAUAUGUAAAUAUCAAAAAUUAGCAACCAUGGUAUAUCAAUGUUUUAUCAUCAUUUAUUCUAAUAGUAUGGAAAUGACCCACAAAUAAUGACUAAAAUAACAUAAUUGGGAGAAAUGANACAGAUCUUUUAGUUAAAAGUGUACCACAUUUAUAAAGACUAAUUCUCUACAAGAGGAGGAAAAAUGAUUUUAGCGAGUAAAUGUGAAAAAUUGCACACAUGCAUGCAUAGCAAAAUAGCCACAUUCAUUGACAAAGUUCUACAAGAAAAGGCAAAAUUUAGUAAGUGUACCUCGGAACACAAAUAUGGAACAGAUACUGCUGAAAAAACAAAUCCAGCAACAAUGUAAUACUAUGAAGGUGGUUUUCCCUUUAUGUGAGCUGGUAUGAGCCUUCUGUGGGUUGCAUGUUUUAUAUAGAACUCCAGAGUCUUAGAAUUACGAAGAACCUUAACUAGGGCCUGAUCUCCAGUAUAUUUUUGAGAAACAAAGUAACUGAAACCUAUGCGUUCUCCAUCCCUGAAAAGAACUGAAUACUUGAGUCAUUAGGGAACUAAGAAACAAGUAUUUUCUUGAGAAUGGACAGACAGAUAUUUUAAUUGCAUUAAUGACAUUUCACAUCAAGAUAUAGAAGCAGAGCAAGAAAUCUGCAAAAUGGCAAAAAAGUUUUAAUUGUCGGCAUUCUCAAAGGUUGCAGACUAGUCAGGUUAACUUUUUUGGGCACAUUUUACAAAAUUACAAUGAAAAGAUUAAGAACGUUAUCCAGCUCAAAUACUGCAUUGAAUUUCAACUUGCGAUAUACCUCAACAACUGGUCAUAGCAGUAUUUCUAUUUCUUAAGUUGAAUAUAAUGUUUAGCUCGGGAAUUUCGGUAUUCCAAUGUUCAAAUGAAUCAUGAUGUUAAAACGGACACUUCAUCUUGCAACAACAAUUCAAGUUUAGGAUGAUAUAAAACAAAUAAAAGGCCUUGCGUCAACUUGUUCACAGAUGGUAAACUAGUACAUAAUCAAGAAACUCGAAAACUAAAAAAAAAUACCAAGAAGAUAAGAGUGAUUACACCAUCACAAUCAGAGACUAAGUACAUAACUAACAUAGAAAAUCUCAUUAUAUUUUUCUCCCUCGCACACCACCAUAUAGCAAAAUUGCCCAACUAUCCCAAAGAACUUCCAUCGGAUAACAUGAUUAAUAAAAAUAACAACAGUAUAUAAAAACACACAUUAUCACCGCGCCUAUCAAUCGCCUUCCGUCUUCCUCCUCUUCUUCUUACUCAAUCCACUCUGUUCCGCAGACUCCCCCGAAAAAUUGCCCUCAAUCUCCUCGCCUUUCCGUUUCUUUUUCUUCUUAUUGACCUCACUCUUUUCCACCUCAAUUCCAUCAUUUCCCUCAAUCUCCUCCACUUCAUUCCCCUCCCCUUUAAUCUCCGUCUCAUCCUGUCCGAAAUCAAAUGCGAUGAUUUGAGAGUGCUUUUUGAGGGACUUAGUAGACGAGGAUGAUUUAAGGUCCUUGUGGAACUGAUUCAAGUUGGCAAAAGAGGUGGCGGCGCGGCGGAGAUAGACGGAGACGGCGUGAGAAGCUCCGUUCUCCAUAGAGACGAAAUUGGAGAGGAUUCUGGAAGCUGCAGCUAAAGAGACUGGCUUUGAUGAUACUACGUGUGCUGAUACUGAUUUCAUUUUGAUCUUAAUUGAGUAAUUGAAUUUUCUAGGGUUUUGCAGACUCAAUUGAAAAGUGAAGUCGGGUCUAGGGUUUAUAAGCGUUUAGCGUAAACACACGGAGUAUCAGCUGUUG